rnacentral:rRNA from 1 species
AUUGAACGCUGGCGGCAGGCCUAACACAUGCAAGUCGAACGGAUGAAGGGAGCUUGCUCCUGGAUUCAGCGGCGGACGGGUGAGUAAUGCCCAGGAAUCUGCCUGGUAUAGGGGGAUAACGUCCGGAAACGGGCGCUAAUACCGCAUACGUCCUGAGGGAGAAAGUGGGGGAUCUUCGGACCUCACGCUAUCAGAUGAGCCUAGGUCGGAUUAGCUAGUUGGUGGGGUAAAGGCCUACCAAGGCGACGAUCCGUAACUGGUCUGAGAGGAUGAUCAGUCACACUGGAACUGAGACACGGUCCAGACUCCUACGGGAGGCAGCAGUGGGGAAUAUUGGACAAUGGGCGAAAGCCUGAUCCAGCCAUGCCGCGUGUGUGAAGAAGGUCUUCGGAUUGUAAAGCACUUUAAGUUGGGAGGAAGGGCAGUAAGUUAAUACCUUGCUGUUUUGACGUUACCAACAGAAUAAGCACCGGCUAACUUCGUG